GAGAAUCGUAACAAACCCCUCUUUCAAGAGGUCUAAUUUGAAGUAUAAAUAACAUCACAGUUAUUGGAGUUGUAAGGCCAUUUCACACCUAUUUGCUAUGUUAUCUGAGAACAUGCUCCUGGUGACAUUACACAUUCUCAAACUGCUUAGUUCUGUUUCAAAUUUUAACACUUUAAUUGCUGCAUAAAUUUGGUGAUUUUCUUUAUAGGUUUCCUGGUGAAAUAAACCUUUUCAGACUCUCAGUUGUGAGACUGAAAGAUCGCUGCUCCCUCAGCACAAUCACUGCCACUGGAAUUAUCAGCUCUGUUUUAGAAGAUAGAUGAUUGCACAUUUCCACCAGUCUUGUCAAGUCACAUUCAGAGAGAUUUUCAUUCAUCCAUAGAGGCCAUUGACGAGAUUGUCUACUGAUUCUCCUGGAAGCUAAAUUCUUCUGUCAAAUCUUUCUCAUGCAAAUGGCACUGGGUGGGCUUUGCAGAAUCGUGGAAUUGCUUCCUGGUCAACAGAUUUUGAAUGCGGUGAAGCCUGGCAAUUACAGAUGGUAGUCAGUGGUGAAGCGGUGGUCAGAGGUGAAGUCUGGUGAGCCCAGAUGGUGGUCACUGGCAGUCAGAGGUGAAGCAGCGGUUGGCGGCAUAGCAACUGGUGAGCCCAGGCGGGACUUGCCCAGUGGGGCUGGAAGUGCACCCAGCACUGUGGUGAGCAAGCCCAGCAUCGGGAAAGCCCAGCAUGGAAUGUCCAUAGCUUAAGAAAGGACUGUGAUGUUUAACUUCUAACUUUAUUUCUUUAUUUUUCUACAUUAUAGUAAGAGGAACUGUAGUAUUGAACUUUUUAAUUUAUUUCUUUAUUUUUCUAUUUUUGUACCUAAGAUUUUGUACCUUGUACCUAAGAUGGUGCCAGG